rnacentral:rRNA from 1 species
CUAGAGAUACUGCCCCGGUUAACGGGAGGAAGGUGGGGAUGACGUCAAGUCCUCAUGGCCCUUAUGCCCAGGGCUACACACGUGCUACAAUGGGCGGUACAAAGGGUAGCGAUGCCGCGAGGUGAAGCCAAUCCCAAAAAGCCGUCCACAGUUCGGAUUGGAGUCUGCAACUCGACUCCAUGAAGCCGGAAUCGCUAGUAAUCGUGGAUCAGCAUGCCCACGGUCCGAAUACGUUCCGGCCUU